CUAUAGUCUUCAUACGCCUAUAGACCCGGAAGCUGCUGGCUCUCAGAUUGUUGUAAACUCAGGGUUCAUCUCGCAGGCGUGCCCUGAUAUUAAACGAAAGCUUCAAAAGACAGAAGGGCUGCGAUCCAUGUCCAGCUCCCAAUUAAUUGAAAUAGCAGACAAAAGUGUUCCUGAACAGGGACACAGAAAUAGAAAAGAAAUAUGGAAAGAAAUAUAAAGAGGAACAAAAGAGAACAGGCUGGAGAUUUGCAAUGCUAGCCGCUGCACCAGGAAAGUCUAUCUUGGGCCCUCCGGGAAAACCGCCUCCUGCCCCAGGGACAGGACAGCCCUUCAACAGGUCCCAGCAAAGGCCCCGGGCCCCAUUACAGCCAAACCUGUGUGCCUGGUGCUGAGGGAUUGGCCACUGGAACAAUGAAUGCCCUAAGGCAAGGAGGGAAGAAAAAGCUCCCACGGUUGUGGGACUUGCUGACUUGGAAACUAAAGGACUGCUGGGGCUCAGAGAUAUCAGGUCCCCCAGAGCCCGUGGUAAGCUUAAACGUGGGGGACCAAAACAUUGACUUCCUGGUGGAUACAGGAGCAGAACUGUCGGUAGUAACAAAACCUGGGGCACCACUGUCCAAAAACACUAGCGCUGUAACUGGGGUAUCGGGAGAAGACAGGAUUAAAUCGUUUUGCCGGCCCAGAAAAUGCCAGAUGAGGGACACCAAGUGCCUCAUGAAUUCCUCUAUGUUCCCCAGUGCCCAGUAGGGCACAAGGUUAUUGGACCAGUCCAGAGACGAGGUGAGCCUGAGAAUCCCAGCACCUAAGACUCAUCAGCAGGUCUGGGAGUUUUUGGGAGCUACUGGGUUUUGCAGAAUCUGGAUUCCAGGAUAUUCCCAAAUGGCCCAGCCUUUAUAUGAACUGACAGGGCCUAAGGAAAGUCCACUAAAUUGGACUGAAAAACAACAAAAACCUGUGAUGAACUAAGUUUGGCAAUUCUAUCAGCCCCUGCUCUGGGGCUGCCAGACCUUGCCAAGCCAUUUCCUCUAUAAGUAACCAAAAAGGGCAAGACAGAAAUGGGAGUGUUAACUCAGUGUUGACGUGGGACAGGCCUAUAGCCUCUCUCUCCAGGCGGCUUAACAAUGUCGCCACCGGGAGGCCCGGAUGCCUGCGGGCCGUUGUUGCGGUUGCCCUGAGUCGUAGGAGAAGCCACUAAGUUGACUUUAGGCCAAGGUCUGGUCGUAAGAGUCCCACACGAGGUCAACGCAGUCUUACGAGGAGAUCCCCACAAAUGGCUAUCAAACUCCCGGAUUACCAAUCUCAAGGGUUGUUAUGUGAAAACCCCAGCCUCCGUAUUGAGCCUUGCCAGACUUUAAACCCAGCCACACUCCUUCCAGUGAGAGGGUGAACCCCCUCAUGACUGUGGGGAAGUCUUGGAAGAAGUCUACACUAGAGACCCGACCUCUGAGACCAAGCGAUUCCGGGCCCUGACUGGGUCCUAUAUGCUGAUGGCACCAGCCUGAUAAAGCAAGGACAGCGGCUCUCGGCUUACGCUAUAGCCACAGAAAAGACCGUCAUCGAGGCUGGCUCCUUGCCACAACACUGGUCUGCUCAACGAGCCGAGCUAUGGGCCUCGAUUCGAGCACUCCAGCUGUCGAAAGGCAAGAGAGUGAACAUCUUCACCGACUCCAGGACGGAAUCUCAGAACUGCACUGCCUGCUCACAGGUCAGUGCUGUGUCUCGGCAGACAGAAACCUCCGGGGAUUCAGCUGAAAGGCACGCUGCCCUUUGAACACCUGGAAGCGGACUGCACUGAAAUGAAGCCUCGCCGACGCUACUGUUACCUGCUGGUCAUGUUAAACUUGCAGGUAUUGCCGCCUGGAUCCAUCACACGAGCGUGAAGAGAGCAUACCACGCAGACCCAGAAAACACUGAGUGGACUACGCAGAGGGACCCCGCUGACCCUCGAGGGACUAAGACCAUCCUUAAGAAGAAGAAGGAAAAGAUCCCAGACGAGCCCCUUCAGGAUGAGGCCGCACAAUCAACUCCUGCCGCUCGGCCUCAUCCACGUGAUUUUGAGUUCAACUUCCGUUUCAACUCAGGACAAUGUUUUCAUCUCCUGGGCACAUUCCUGCGCAGACUUCCACACCACCUCCAGUUGCUGGGUGUGUGGGGCUCUGCCUCUCUCUGUGAUGGAUGGAAUUCCUUGGUGGGUGUCACAGCUCCGCCAGGGAGAUUUUAAACCACUCUGUUCUUUUCUGGGACGACAAAAAGAGACUUUCCUUUCUCUUGCCAAUCACAAUCUCUCUCUGCUCUCUCGGUGUAAACCAGACCUACAAUCAAUAGACCCGGGUCAUGGGGUUACAUUUGAUAUAAA